GACGAACGCUGGCGGCGUGCUUAACACAUGCAAGUCGAACGGAAAGGCCCUGCUUUUGUUGGUUGCUCGAGUGGCGAACGGGUGAGUAACACGUGAGUAUCCUGCCCUUGACUUUGGGAUAACUUUAGGAAACUGGGGCUCUUACCGGAUAUAAGCUCCUGCUGCAUGUUGUUGGUUGGAAAGUUUCGGCGUUUGGGGAUCGACUCGCUGCUUAUCCGCUUGUUGGUGAGGUAGUGGCUUACCAAGCCUUUGACGGGUAGCCGGCCUGAGAGGGUGAACGGCGACAUGGGGACUAAGAGAGGGAGCAGAAGGGUACGGGAGGCAGCGGUGGGGAAUAUUGCACAAUGGGGGGAAGCGAGAUGCGGAAACGCCGCGAGCGGGAUAACGGCCUUCGGGUUGAAAACAGAUGUCGAAUGUAACGAAGAGUGAGUGACGGUAAUGGGUAAAGAAGCACCGGCUAACUACGUG
rnacentral:rRNA from 1 species